UGUGCAUUGUGUCAACUGGGAAAACCAGUUUUUCAUAAAAAUGUAGCAAUAACUACAAAAAAGCAAAAUACCAUCAAAAUAAGUAAUUGCUUAACUAGGAAAAUAACCCUUCAGAAAUAAUGAUAUGAAUUAGCAAUUAACAGUGCACAAGAUUUCUGCAAGCGUUCAAGGACCUUGUAAACUCUAUGCAUAUCAAACAGAUUGCACUAGAAGGGUUGCCUCCUGCAAAUAUAAGAACCAAAUAGGGUUCCCAUCACUCAAAACCUUCCAAAAAAUCCCUUUCCUUCACAUUUCGGAUCCCUUGACACUGCUA